UACGAAGGGGGCUAGCGUUGCUCGGAAUCACUGGGCGUAAAGCGCACGUAGGCGGAUUGCUAAGUUAGGGGUGAAAUCCCAGGGCUCAACCCUGGAACUGCCUUUAAUACUGGCAAUCUCGAGUCCGAGAGAGGUGAGUGGAAUUCCGAGUGUAGAGGUGAAAUUCGUAGAUAUUCGGAGGAACACCAGUGGCGAAGGCGGCUCACUGGCUCGGUACUGACGCUGAGGUGCGAAAGCGUGGGGAGCAAACAGG
rnacentral:rRNA from 1 species